rnacentral:rRNA from 1 species
GCUUGUCUCAAAGAUUAAGCCAUGCAAGUCUCAGUACAAGCUGAUUUAAAGUGAAACCGCAAAAGGCUCAGUAAACCGGUCAUAGUUUACCGGAUAAAUGCCACUCACGUGGAUAACUGUGGUAAUUCUAGAGCUAAUACAUGAAAACAAGUCCCGACCAGCGAUGGAGAGGACGCUUUUAUUUGAACAAAACCAUUCGCCCGGCCCGUCCGGGCGUCUACCUGGUGAGCCUAAAUAACACAACAGAUCGCACGGUCAUUGUACCGGUGACGUAUCCUUCAAAUGUCUGACUUAUCAGCUGUCGAUGGUAGACUCUGUGUCUACCAUGGCGCUCACGGGUGACGGGGAAUCAGGGUUCGAUUCCGGAGAGGGAGCCUGAGAAACGGCUACCACAUCCAAGGAAGGCAGCAGGCACGCAAAUUACCCACUCCCGGCACGGGGAGGUAGUGACAAAAAAUAACGAUACGGGACUCAUCCGAGGCCCCGUAAUCGGAAUGAGAACACUCUAAAUCCUUUAACGAUGAUCUAUUGGAGGGAAAGUCUGGUGCCAGCAGCCGCGGUAAUUCCAGCUCCAAUAGCGUAUAUUAAAGUUGUUGCGGUUAAGGGGACAGGCGGCUCUUAGCCGCACGAGAUUGAGCAAAAACAGGUCUGUGAUGCCCUUAGAUGUUCUGGGCCGCACGCGCGCUACACUGAAGGAAUCAGCGUGUGCUCCCCUGUCCGAAAGGUCCGGGUAACCCGCUGAACCUCCUUCGUGCUAGGAAUUGGGGCUUGCAAUUGUUCCCCAUGAACGAGGAAUUCCCAGUAAGCGCGAGUCAUAAGCUCGCGUUGAUUACGUCCCUGCCCUUUGCACACACCGCCCGUCGCUACUACCGAUUGAAUGAUUUAGUGAGGUCUUCGGACCGGCGAUAAUUGGCACCGACGUCUCGUCUGGUAUCGAUUUCGCUGGAAAGAUGACCGAACUUGAUUAUUUAGAGGAAGUAAAAGUCGUAACAAGGUUUCCCUUGGCAAAUGCUUUCGCAAAAAGCUCGUAGUUGGUUCUGCGUGCCGCGCUGUCGGUUCACCGCCUGCCGGUGCAACUGGCAUGCCGCGGCAUGUCCUGUCGGUGGCGGAUAGGCGUCGGCCCGCCUUCCAUGCGGUUACCGCCGUGUGGGAUGCUGCGGUUCCGUCGUCCUUGUACGCCGGCUCAAUCCUACCGCGGUGCUCUUCACCGAGUGUCGAGGUAGGCCGACACUGUUUACUUUGAACAAAUUAGAGUGCUUCAUGCAGGCUAAAUAUACAGCCUGAAUAGUGGUGCAUGGAAUAAUGGAACAGGACCUUGGUUCUAUUUUGUUGGUUUCCGGAAUCCAAGGUAAUGAUCAAUAAGGACAGGCGGGGGCAUUCGUAUUGCGACGUUAGAGGUGAAAUUCUUGGAUCGUCGCAAGACGCACUAAAGCGAAAGCAUUUGCCAAGUAUGUCUUAAUUGAUCAAGAACGAAAGUUAGAGGUUCGAAGGCGAUCAGAUACCGCCCUAGUUCUAACCAUAAACGAUGCCAGCCAGCGAUCCGCCGACGUUCCUCCGAUGACUCGGCGGGGAGCUUUCCCCGGGAAACCAAAGCUUUUGGGUUCCGGGGGAAGUAUGGUUGCAAAGCUGAAACUUAAAGGAAUUGGCGGAAGGGCACCACCAGAAGUGGAGCCUGCGGCUUAAUUUGACUCAACACGGGAAACCUCACCAGGCCCGGACAUUGGAAGGAUUGACAGAUCGAUAGCUCUUUCUCGAUUCAGUGGGUAGUGGUGCAUGGCCGUUUUUAGUUGGUGGACUGAUUUGUCUGGUUAAUUCCGAUAACGAACGAGACUCUGACCUAUUAACUAGGCGACACCGGUAUAGAUAGCUACCGGCGAGAUUUAUUCUUCUU